CAAAUUAAUGUUAUACUUUAGAUGGUUUAUGCAGUCAAAUUGUUGCUCAAUAUACUUAGAUGAUUUAUGCAGUGUGAUAUCAGCAAAUGUUGAAUAAAUGUUACUUUAUUCGGAAGUAAAAUUACUCGGAAGUUGUUUUUUUUGUUUACAAACAACUCGGAAGUUGUUUAUGAAUAAAUGUUGCUACUAAAGCAAAGGGUUGCAGCACAACGGCAAUGAUCUAGUAGUUUAAAGAUGUUUUGUGGAUAUAGCUCGGCU
rnacentral:lncRNA from 1 species